rnacentral:rRNA from 1 species
AUUGAACGCUGGCGGCAUGCCUUACACAUGCAAGUCGAACGGCAGCACGGGUGCUUGCACCUGGUGGCGAGUGGCGAACGGGUGAGUAAUGUAUCGGAACGUGCCUUUUAGUGGGGGAUAACGUAGCGAAAGUUACGCUAAUACCGCAUAUUCUGUGAGCAGGAAAGCAGGGGAUCGCAAGACCUUGCGCUAAUUGAGCGGCCGAUAUCAGAUUAGCUAGUUGGUGGGGUAAUGGCCCACCAAGGCUACGAUCUGUAGCGGGUCUGAGAGGAUGCUCCGCCACACGAGGACUGAGACACGGCCCAGACUCCUACGGGAGGCAGCAGUGGGGAAUUUUGGACAAUGGGGGCAACCCUGAUCCAGCCAUGCCGCGUGAGUGAAGAAGGCCUUCGGGUUGUAAAGCUCUUUCGGACGGGAAGAAAUCGCAUCGGCUAAUACCUGGUGCGGAUGACGGUACCGUAAUAAGAAGCACCGGCUAACUACGUGCCAGCCGCCGCCGUAA